rnacentral:sRNA from 1 species
UUGUACUGUAUCCCCACUGUCCCAACAUCCAUAUACAGACAAACCUGUAUAUCCAAACACCUUUGUAAUACUUCCACUCUACAUUCCAACCACAGCUAGAAUUCUGGUUUACAGAUAUUUUUUGUAUUGAGACUCCCUAUCCAACAAUGUGUCCAACUUAUAUCCUAUAAUGUAGUUCAUUAAUUGUGAUACUACCUAUUCAACAAUAUGUCCAAUGCAAUAAAGAACUCUGUUAACAUCAUUCCAAAACUGGCUUUAUUUAAAGAGGUUUUAUCAGUAUAAGGGUAGUAAUGUUGUUACAGCCAGAAAAAGUUGCUGAUUUUGAGACUACGUGUAUACUGAUGUUAUUUUGUGCAACAAAAAUCAAAAGACAAAUCUAGAUGAUCAAAUCCAGGGGUAGUCUUUUGUUUUUAAUUUACAUUUUAUUUAUUCCUAUCAUAACGUUGUCAAGACAAACCUUUUGCAGGCCUAUGCUGUAUAAUACAAUGCAAUUUUUAUUCAUGUGAUUGUUAUUUUUUUAUCUGAUCACCAGUAAAUCUGUUAUGUGUUUCUUGUUCAACCAUUUCUAUAGUGCCAUGCUUCAUGCACAGGUGCAAGGGAGGGGGUGUAACAAAUAGGACUUCAUACAUGAACCUAUUAUAUAUCUUGAUAUCCACUCCCCCUCGAGAUCUCUGUUGAACAUUUUUUAAAUUUCCUUUCUCUUUGUAUUGAGAAUAUGUUUAUACACCUUACAACCAAUGCAAACAAUUUUGUUGUUGUUAUGAAUGUAUUUUCUGAAAGCUUUGAUCAAUGCAACAUAUUUGUUAAUAUAUAGUGUCAUUAUAUCUAUGUACAUGUAUAUAUCUAUUAAAGCAAUAAAAUAAUUCUAUUGU